CUGCAAUUGACACCAAAUAGCCAAGAUAAAUUACAAGACAUCAAAACAUCAAAGCUACACAUUCACGUUAGUGCAUGAAAAAGACAUCUACAGUAAAGCAAUUUUAAAUUGUUUAGAGUCCUUACAACUUUGUAAAAUCUAUUGAAAGCGUUCAAAUUCUAAAACCAUGUUUGGCAUAAUUCAAACACCUUAGCAGAAUUAAUAUCAUAUUAUAAGAACAACUGAACAAGAACAAGAGAAGGCAGUAUUAACUAAUUCAAAUAUAAACACAUCACUAAUCCUAUUGCAAAACUGAAAUGAAGGAGGAUCGCAGGCACAUUAUUAGCUCUACAAUGACAGGAAUGAAUGUAAUAUA
rnacentral:misc_RNA from 1 species